rnacentral:rRNA from 1 species
CACGUAGGGGACGAGCGUUGUCCGGAAUCAUUGGGCGUAAAGAGCGUGUAGGCGGCCCGGUAAGUCCGCUGUAAAAGUCAACGGCUCAACUGUUGAAAGCCGGUGGAUACUGUCGGGCUAGAGUACGGAAGAGGCAAGUGGAAUUCCUGGUGUAGCGGUGGAAUGCGCAGAUAUCAGGAGGAACACCUAUAGCGAAGGCAGCUUGCUGGGACGUAACUGACGCUAAGGCGCGAAAGCGUGGGGAGCGAACAGG